rnacentral:rRNA from 1 species
AUCGAACGCUGGCGGCAGGCCUAACACAUGCAAGACGAGCGGGGUUUUCGGACCUAGCGGCGGACGGGUGAGUAAUGCGUAGGAAGCUACCCGAUAGAGGGGGAUACCAGUUGGAAACGACUGUUAAUACCGCAUAAUGUCUACGGACCAAAGUGUGGGACCUUCGGGCCACAUGCUAUCGGAUGCGCCUACGUGGGAUUAGCUAGUUGGUGGGGUAAUGGCUCACCAAGGCGACGAUCCCUAGCUGGUUUUAGAGGAUGAUCAGCCACACUGGAACUGAGACACGGUCCAGACUCCUACGGGAGGCAGCAGUGGGGAAUAUUGGACAAUGGGCGCAAGCCUGAUCCAGCCAUGCCGCGUGUGUGAAGAAGGCCUUCGGGUUGUAAAGCACUUUCAGUAGGGAGGAAGGGUGUUGUGUUAAUAGCACAGCAUUUUGACGUUACCUACAGAAGAAGCACCGGCUAACUCUGUGCCAGCCGCCGCCGUAAGAC